rnacentral:misc_RNA from 1 species
CCAAGAUUGAUAAUAUAAAUUCCUGAGCAAUGAACACCAAGUAAUUCACAUCAGCAUACAUAACAUCUUGACACAUUAAACUUCAGGACUCGGAUAAGAAAGGCCUAUGGCGAUAUGCAUAGUCAUAAUGCACACAACUAAUUCAAGUAAAUGAAUCUCUAAACUGAUUGGAAACAACUUGCAUAUGGUGGUUUUUUUUUUU